rnacentral:lncRNA from 10 species
UAGGACCUGAUGAUUGAUUUAGCAUCUUUGGCAUCCGGCCACUGCUCUGCUUGGCCAUACUGCUGCCUUCACCCUCAGCUGUUGCAACUCUUUUGGCCACUUUGUGUAACUGCCCUGCCAAGCCCUGCUUCCUGGCUGUCCAAAGAAAGAAGUGUUUCCUACAGGAGAUCACAACAAAAGGAUGAAAUCUGGGGUGCAGGGGAAGGGUAGCUUCUGAAGCUGGAAAAUAAAGAAGAUCAAGUUCAGAUGGCUUACGGUUGAGAUACAUGUUGCUAUGGCAGCAGGAAGAAAAUGAUGGAAAAGAAGAAAACAAAAAGCAAGAAAAAGUGAGAAAUCAAAGGACAACAUUUUCAAGGAUGAAGAGUGCUACAUCUAUUCAUUAUACAUUGUAGAUAUAGAUAAUAACAAUAGUAAUAAUGUGGUCAAAUUUUAAUAAAUAAAAAAUUGAGUUAAGC